rnacentral:rRNA from 1 species
GUGCCAGCCGCCGCGGUAAUACGUAGGAUCCGAGCGUUGUCCGGAAUUACUGGGUGUAAAGGGCGUGUAGGUGGGCUUCUAAGUCGGUGGUGAAAUGCUGCAGCUUAACUGCAGAACUGCCUCCGGUACUGGAAGUCUUGAGUACGGCAGAGGGAGAUGGAAUUCAUGGUGUAGCGGUGAAAUGUGUAGAUAUCAUGAAGAACACCGGUAGCGAAGGCGGUCUCCUGGUCCGUUACUGACACUGAGGCGCGAAAGCGUGGGGAGCAAACAGGAUUAGAUACCCCGGUAGUCC